GAUGAAGAACGUAGCGAAAUGCAAUAAGUAGUGUGAAUUGCAGAAUUCAGUGAAUCAUCGAAUCUUUGAACGCACAUUGCGCCCUUUGGUAUUCCUUAGGGCAUGCCUGUUCGAGCGUCAUUUAAACCUUCAAGCUCAGCUUGGUGUUGGGUGACUGUCCGCCGCCUCCGGGCGGUCGGACUCGCCUCAAAUUGAUUGGCGGCCGGUACUUUGGCUUCGAGCGCAGCAGAAACGCGAACUCGAGGCCGUCGUCCUGGCUCCCAGAAGCUAUCUUCACAAUUUUGACCUCGGAUCAGGUAGGGAUACCCGCUGAACUUAAGCAUAUCAAUAAGCGGAGGA
rnacentral:misc_RNA from 1 species